AGCAAACUUUUUUUCUGUAAUGACGACAUGUUGAAGUGAAGUUUUACAUAAAAAAAAAGUUUAAAAAUUGAAAACAAGAACUUGCAGCUGAUUGUUAACGAGUUCUGUUUGAAGGUGCUGUUUGUAGUGCUGUGCAUGUCAGUGAGGGACAAGACACAAUAUCCAUCAUACGGCAUCAUUAGUGUAGCAGUCACGUCGACUACUUGCAAUUGGAAAAGCCAUUUAUCACUAUAUAGAAGGAGUUAUUGUGCUUUCAGGGAGCUGUGAAAAGUGAACUUUAUCUUGUCCUUUUGUAAUUCACACUUCAUAGGUUUUAGAAAAUACAGGCCCCUCCCCCUGUAUAUAGAGAUGGACAGUGGAUCUACGCUGGGUGGAUUAGGGCCCUUCUAUGUUCAAAGGAGUAACCUAGAAUCACACACUUUGCAAUACUGAAUUGAUUUUAUCAGACAACAGCUUCAUUGUUAAAAACAGAUAUGCAAACUUUAGUGAAUGCUCUACACUUAUCAUAUAUUAGAUAAAACCUCUGUGUGACCAUUUUUAGAUACAGUCUACAAAAAGUGACAAAAAGACAAUAUAACAAUAUUUAAAAAAAAUCAGUUCUGGAAUUGAAACAUUAAAAUUCAUAAUUUUUUUUUAUACAUCUGAACAUUACACCAUAGAACUGCAUACACAUUUAUAAUACAGGAAUACUUCAAAGCUUCCCUUUUGUAUAUAUAUGUUUAUUCUUAAUUAUUACUAUAUAUAUAUACUCCUCAGUCAGCCAUGAAUGCUGCUUAUAAAUAUUCAGUAUGGCUCUUUAAAUAAACAGUUAAGUUUAAGUCACAUCUGAGAUUUUUCUCAGAUCUCCAGUAACAUGAUGAAGAACAGAUAAUACACACCUCUGACCACACGGGGUCAGCAGAGGAUUUCCUGCACUGGACUUCUUUAAAUAUUUCUAUCUGUAGUCCUCUGCAAACGCCAUCAACUCAUAAAAAUGUAUCCAGGCAAAAUGUUUCAAAUAAAAGUAAAAUUAAGAUUUUCAGUCUAUCAAAGCAGAUCUGGGAGGACUGAUCCAUGACUUCUGAAACACUUGAGUUUGGCUUUGGUUUUUUGGCUAUGAUGCUAACUGACUGAACAGGAUGGGUAACUUCCUGCUGUUUUUUUUAAAGACAUUCUUUGUUUUUGUUUUUUUACUAAAAAUGUUGGAUUUUUGUGUUGAUUACAAAACCACAAUCAAAUGGACAUUUUCAGGUGAGUCACAGUUUUUAUUAUAUUUAUCUCUCUUUGCCUUUCAUGUGAAAAUUGUCACUGUUUCUAUUUAUUGCAGUUUCUAAAAUUUCUCUCUUUUAUUUUCAGUUGCUGUCAAUCUAACGUGAGUAUUUCAAAAAUGUAAAAAACAAGUUAUAUAUAUUUAUAAUGUCUGCAUCCAGAAGUUCAUACCACAGCAGCAGACACUGUGGAUCACAGAAGUUCUGAUUUUAUUUUGGAGCAUGUUUCUGCACAAAUCUCUGAAUUAUUAAAGCUAAGCACUCCUAAUGACAAAGGGUGUAUGUGCAGUUUAAGUGCAAUCUUUCAUUUUGUAGAUAAUUGCAAAAAACGUCCAGAAUCUCUGAUAUAUCCGACAUAUACAUCACACCAAACUGCUUAAACAUAGUGAAGGUUGAAGCCCGUGUGGACAGACUCCAUGUCAAAUAUUUAAUGCUUUAAUCUGAUGCCCAAAAUAAAUGUUUGGGUUUUUUUUUAAAUUUAUCUCUUUGCAUCCCCUCGGUUUUGAUUUCUUGACAUUGUCACAGCUGUUUUUGCAGAUUUUUGAAUGCCCUAAACUAGAAAUUAUCCCAAACUUUAAGUCAUAUUAAGUAUGAUUUAAGUCUCGUCAUUUCCUUAUCUCCCUGUGCAGAGUGCCUCAUGUCCAGCUGUCAGCCUGACCUGUCCCAAGGAGGACUGCUGACCGCCUUGGAUUGACUAUUUAUGAGGUGACUGGUCAAAGGAUGAAGGCAUUUCAGGAGCUGAUUGGCCUGGUCGGUCUCAGGGUUCCUCAUGGCCAUAAAAGUUGAACAGCCAAACCCCCGUCCAAGCCCAUAUAUACCCCACAGAGUUAACUUUUUAAUCAGUGACUCCCUCACUGCGUCCCAGCCCUUCAGCCAGUCUCUGCAGGCCUCCUCAUCAUCACUUUGUAGAGUCAGAAACCUGAAGGAAGCCACAAUGUCUGAGGGAAAGAAGAUGACGUCAAGCCGCAGGCAUCAUCUCAAGAGUUUAAUGCUGCAAAUCGCUGCUAACUUGCUCGAGCAGGAAGCUGAUGAAAUCAUUGCCACCAAAGAAGCUUACCUCGCAGAGAACUGUGCCGCCCUCGACCUGAGCGGAGACCAGGCAGCUCUGAUGGACGUCUGCAAAAAGCUGCAUCAGGCCAUUGAUAAGAUUGAUGAGGAGAGAUACGACACCCAGGUCAAGGUGGAAAAGGCCAACAAAGAGAUCAAUGAACUGAAGAUGAAGGUCAUCGAGCUGGCCGGAGUGAAGAAACCUGCCCUGAAGAAAGUGCGUAUGAGUGCCGACGCCAUGCUUAAAGCUCUUCUGGGCUCCAAACACACGGUAAACAUGGACCUCAGGGCCAACCUGAAGCAGGUCAAGAAGGAGGUGAAGGAGGAGCCUGCGGAGGUGGUGGGCGACUGGCGCAAGAACAUUGAAGACAAGGCUGACAGGAAGAAGAUGUUUGAGACCUCUUAAAGACUUUCUCAUCCAACUUCUGUUUUGCUCAUUCUGGGAUGUUACAGCUCUUUAUCACUGUUACCUCUGAUCUCUUACGUGGAAUUGGAAAAGCUCAUGCAAUUAAAUGUUCUUUUUGGAAUAAGGCAAUGCUGUGAAGCUGCACUUUUUCAAGGCGGUCUCUUUUUUUAUUUUAACGGCUAACUUAAGUUGGGCUAAUUUAUACAGGCUGUUGUACAUUCACUUACUCCUAAGUUCAAUCAGGUUCAAUCAGAAAUUGAAACCAGAAGAAACUUCUUUCCAGGUGUAAUACGACUUUAACAUAACUUACAUUUCCAAAUAGGCAGUUGGAAAACUCAGAUGUGUUGUGCUGAUGUUGAACCACCAGAUGUCAGCAGAGAGCAUUCUCAUCCUUUAUUUGCUGGCUCCGUUUUCUUCUUUUACAUCUUCUCUUUUUAGUUUGAGUCCUAGAAGAUGGCUUUUGCUGCCAGAUUUUUUUCAUCAUAUGUGGAAUUUAUUGAUCAAUCUUUUGUGAUCAAAUCGCAUUUUAACCAGUAAAGCUGCAGCCACACAGAGCUCUACAAAUGGUGAGUGCAGUUUUACUCUUUUGACCUGCAUCACUCUUUGUUUAACCACUGCAUGACAUUUGUCUUCAUUUCUUACAAUAUUUACAGUUUUUAUGUUAAAUAACUCAUGUUGUAUGUCUCAUAUAAAUUAAGUAGGGAUUUCCCAACAUAUUUGGUGUAUCUGGUACGUUUAGAUAUCUUUACAUUUGUAAAUGUCAUGUUUGAGAGGGGGAAAAGCUAACAACGGUUGUGUUAUACAUCAGAAAUUGAUUUUUUCUAAACUUUAAAAUGUUGCUCUUUUGAUUUAAAGUUCAAAGGAAGAAUGCAGUUAAUCAAACUGAUUUCAGCUUCUAAUAACAAUAAAUCAACAAUAAUAACAAUAAGUCAUCCUCAGUGCAUUCGUGAUUGGUCAAGUUCAAUUCCCUGUUUUACUUUCACUUUCCUGAUUCCCUCUCAUAGGCAGCGACCUGCUGUGAUGAAUUUCAAACCUAAUGUGCAUUUAAAAAAAAAUAAUCAAAUACUACUAUUUGGACAGUCAAAACAAAACUGAACUUUUAUCACAUUCAUAUUUAAAUAUUAGUGCUUAUUAAUGUACUUAUUAUAAUUAGCAGCACAAUGUAGUACAUUAGUUUUAUAUUGGUGUUGCAUCUGUAUGUGGUAACCAUAAAUAAUAUAAAUAUUAAGACACAUUUUUCUUAAACUGAAGUAGUCUGCUGUAAAAAGUUACUGUCAAAUAUUAUUUCAGUGUUAGGAAAAUAAUAUGGUUAUUUUAUUUAUUUAUUUAUUUAUUUUAUUUGUAAUGUAAUCCACCAAAAACUGAAGGAAGGAAAUUUUCUUCCAAUAUCUGUCUGCAACCAAAGAGAAAAAAGCCAAAAUGAUGCCAAAUUUGUUGUUUUGCUUCAAAAUAGCUGUUUAUACGUUUUAACUUACAUUUUAAUUUGUUUCAAUUAAAUAUUAGAUUUUUAUUUAAGACUUUUUUGUAAUUUUACAAAAUAUAUGUUCAAAUAUCAAAAUGACCAUCAGCAUUGUUGCUUAAAGCUCAUAAAACUUGUGAGUAUCAAACUAUUUUCUUAAGUUGGAAUUUGUUCGAUGCCAUUUCGUCAUAUUUAGCUUUGUUGCAGUUUUUGUUUGUGUUUUAAUAUUUUGUAUUUGGCACACUGACUCUGACAGUGGUGUGGAACAAAAUCCACAGCCCUCUCUGCUCAAAGAGCAGAUUUUAAGUUGUACUGGCUGUACGUUUUUAUGAUUUGAUUUUGUGUUUAGUCUCUUAAUGUUCACCAUGUCACCGGUGACCCAUCGAGGGUGAUGGUUCUUUUUGUUUUGCUACAUUCAUACAGUUUAUAGGGACAUUUUCAGAAAUUAAAGGAUGUUACCUUCAAAUUUUAAAAAUGUUAAUGCUCAAUGAUCACUGAUGUCCUGUCUUAACCUUGGCCGAGACAGGACAUCAGUGAUCUGGUGUGUAUGAAGAGGUAACUUGGUGCUUUUAACUACAGCUGAACUUGAUUGUGUCUAAGAGCUUCACAUGCUGUCCUCAGAGCUCAGUGGGAAUCAGUGAGAUUUAAUUAUGUCAGCCACUCCACUUGACUGUUGUGUGACAAUUGCUUCAUCCCUCUGCUGGCCGGUUGGUUGGGAACCUGAUAGCGUCUGUCCAGCCUCCCGUCCAGGGAGGCGACUUCCUCCAGUAGAAAUUUACGAGGUUCCUUGUGGUAUUUCUGGAGCCUGAUGACCCAUUGGUCUGAAGUAGCUCUGCUACCAUAAAGAGGGCUGGCUUUCCCGCUGAGCCAGCACUUCAUAGCCUAUAUACUCUGUUUAAUCUUUACUGUUUCAGACUUAGUGGGGUCUCCCUCCCUGUUCUUCUUCCUCAUCUUGCUCAGUAGGGUUUGAAGAUCACAAACAGCCAAAAUGACUGAGUGA